UACGGGGGGGGCAAGCGUUGUUCGGAAUUACUGGGCGUAAAGGGUCUGUAGGUGGCCAACUAAGUCAGACGCGAAAUCCCUCAGCUUAACUGGGGAACUGCGUCUGAUACUGGUUGGCUUGAGUGCAGGAGAGGAAUGCGGAAUUCCAGGUGUAGCGGUGAAAUGCGUAGAUAUCUGGAGGAACACCGGUGGCGAAGGCGGCAUUCUGGACUGCAACUGACACUGAAAGACGAAAGCCAGGGGAGCAAACGGG
rnacentral:rRNA from 1 species